ACCAGACUCAGCAAGGCACGUUGGCUCCCACGUGUUGACAGAAACAUGGAAUGAAGCCACUGUUUACUUUAGCAAGCGCUCACCAGAGCUCCGUGGGCCCAAGUAGGAACUUGCCUUGGCACCCGCUCCCCGAAGCUCUGGCAGGUCCCUGGCAGCUGGCAUCCUCGCUGGGGAGGACACGUGCCGUUAGCUCCCGCCUGCCACCGCCGCCUGCUGCGCGCUGGUGUUGCUGGUGACAGGCAUGUGACAGCACACCACCGCGUUUCUCCAGCAAAGCCCACCAGGACAGCGGUUCUCCAGCGACGGGCAGGGGACGGGCAGGUGUGGCUUCUCCUGCUUGUGAAAGAUGACCAUGGGAGAUUGCUCUGACCUUACUCCUUAUUCCUGGAAGCUCCCAAGAAGCUGCAAAACGUAAGAAAGAUGCUUGUAGCUGGGCUCCAUUGGAGAUGACCAGCGUGCGUUUCAGUCCGGUCCGGCAGCCAGGGCUGAGCAACGCCUUUCCAUGGAAAUGGCUCCCAUCUGGGAUCCGACUGACCACCGCCUCCUCUCCCCACCGGGUGAGCUGCCCUGAGGGUCAGCCAGAGAUUCGGCCGAUGAGAGCUGCAAGCGGCACGGCGGAUGCCCCCACGCUCCUCGUUGUCCCAGGGCCGGGGACUCGCACCGCCGGCGCGGCUCCCGCGUUGUUCCUCCGCACCGUGGCUGGGUCACCGCAGCCCAGCCCGCGUCGCCCUGCCCGUCGCCGCCUCCGCAGCAGGAGCGCAGCCCCCCAGCACCCUGGUCCCUGCCGCCGUCCGCACUGCCUCUGAGCCGUCUGGAGCGGGAGGGCGAUGCUGCCGGGUGUCAGGCCUGCUCCGGGCCCGCGGCUGCAGGGACAACGCGGCG
rnacentral:lncRNA from 1 species